rnacentral:rRNA from 1 species
AGUGAACGCUGGCGGUAGGCCUAACACAUGCAAGUCGAACGGCAGCACAGUAAGAGCUUGCUCUUACGGGUGGCGAGUGGCGGACGGGUGAGGAAUACAUCGGACUCUACUUUUUCGUGGGGGAUAACGUAGGGAAACUUACGCUAAUACCGCAUACGACCUACGGGUGAAAGCAGGGGAUCUUCGGACCUUGCGCGAUUGAAUGAGCCGAUGUCGGAUUAGCUAGUUGGCGGGGUAAAGGCCCACCACGGCGACGAUCCGUAGCUGGUCUGAGAGGAUGAUCAGCCACACGGGAACUGAGACACGGUCCAGACUCCUACGGGAGGCAGCAGUGGGGAAUAUUGGACAAUGGGCGAAAGCCUGAUCCAGCCAUACCGCGUGGGUGAAGAAGGACUUCGGGUUGUAAAGCCCUUUUGUUGGGAAAGAAAAGCAGCAGGUUAAGACCCCGCUGUUCUGACGGUACCCAAAGAAUAAGCACCGGCUAACUUCGUG